GAUGAACGCUGGCGGCGUGCCUAAUACAUGCAAGUCGAGCGAACAGACGAGGAGCUUGCUCCUCUGACGUUUUCGACGCACGUGUGAGUAACACGUGGAUACCCUACCUAUAAGACUGGGAUAACUUCGGGAAACCGGCGCUAAUCCCGGAACAUAUAUUGAACCGCAUGGUUCACUAGUAAAAGACGGUUUUGCUACUACUUAUAGAUGGAUCCGCGUCGCAUUAGCUAGUUGGGAAGGUAACGGCUUACCACGGCGACGAUGCGUAGCCGACCUGGGAGGGUGUCCGGCCACACUGGAACGGGGCAACGGUCAAGACUCCUACGGGAGGCAGCAGUAGGGAAUCUUCCGCAAUGGGGGAAGGCCGGACGGAGCAACGCGGCGUGAGUGAUGAAGGUCUUCGGAUCGUAAAACUCUGUUAUUAGGGAAGAACAAAGGUGUAAGUAACUAUGCACGUCUUGACGGUACCUAAUCAGAAAGCCACGGCUAACUACGUG
rnacentral:rRNA from 1 species